UUUUCUCACAAAAUCUCCUCUCUCUCUCUCUCUCUCUCUUCGACCGCCUCAUUCUCUCUCUCUCUCUCUCUCUCCUAUUUCGCACACUGUAUCGAUUCCGUAAUUGUGAUUUGGGAAUGCUGUUAACCGCGCCUUUUCUCUCUCAUUCGCCGAUGACCUAGCAUCUCCGGUGCCGGACACCUUCGCCGGCCUUCCGCUGCCGGUUUAAGAUUCAUUUCUUAAAAUUAAAAAAAAAUCAAGACUCUGGGAUUCAGGGAUUUCUCUAGGGUUUUGUGGCUGCUUCUUUCGAUUCGAUUGAGGCCAUAGAAGUUCGUCAAAUUCUAGGGUAUUGUUUCUUCGGUUGAGGCGUCGACGCCAUGGCUCCGGGGCGUAGACGCGGACCGAACAAGGCCAAGGCUAAGGGCCAGUUGAGUCUCGGUGAUCUUGUUCUCGCCAAGGUCAAGGGCUUUCCCUUCUGGCCUGCCAAGAUUAGCAGGCCUGAAGAUUGGAAGAAACCUCCUGACCCCAAGAAAUACUUUGUUCAAUUUUUUGGAACGGAGGAAAUAGCAUUUGUUGCCCCUGCGGAUAUUCAAGCAUUUACUAGCGAAGCAAAGAAUAAGUUAUCAGCUCGUUGCCAAGGUAAAGCAAAGCACUUUGCCCAAGCUGUGAAGGAAAUAUGUGAGGAAUUUGAUGAGUUGCAGAAAAAAAAAUCAAGCAGUUCGAGGGAUGAUACUGAAAGAGUGGAACUUGGAAGCGAGGCUCGAUCAGUCAAUGGGGUUGAUGAUAAUGACGUAGAGGGUGACUUAAAGGAUGGGACUGGUAUCACGGGUUCUGAUGGAGAAGCAGUGAAUGAGGAAGUAGAUGAUUCUUGCUCUAAGUUGGAGCGAUGUUCACAGAGACGAGGUGAAAAGGACUGCGAGGAUGUGCAGCCCUCUGCUGGUGGUAAUACAAGUGAUAUCUUGUCACCAGUCAAAUCUUCUGAGAUAAAAGGUAAAAUAAUUGAUGUUGUAGAGCCGAAGAAGGAGAUAGUUUUGAAAGCUGAUCCAGAUAGUUCACCUCACCUGGAGGGAGCAGUUUCUGGUUCUGGACAGAAACCAUUAUCAAAUGGUCACAAGUUGAAGAAAAUGACAUCUGGAUCAAAGAGGAGUGAAAGUGGUGGUGUUGAAGUACAUAAAAAUAAAAAUGCUUCUGGUGCCAGCAGAAAGGAACUUCCUUCUGAAGAUAAAGCAGAUUCUGAUAACUGUGGUGGAAAAAAGGCAAAAGUAUUCACUAAAUCAAAAAGUCAUUUGAAGGUUCCAAACAAUGUGCGCCACCCUGGUGGGGACUCUGAGGAACAGUUAGAGGACAAACUUCAUGGAAGAACUAAAAAGGGCCAUCUUAGUGUGGGAACAAAUGAAGUUUUGCAUCCUGCUAAAAAGUCGAGGCAUUUGGAUUCAAGAGAUGAUUCAUCAAUAGGAACAUUUUCUAAAACCAAAAAAUCUUUUUCUCCUGGUCCCAUUGUCAUGGACAGUAAGACAGUUAUAAAAUCAGAUUCAAAGAAAUCAAAUUCAUUAGUGAAAGCAGAAAAUCACGUUACAUUGAAAUCUCAAAAUGUGCCUGGCGAUGAAACUGUGUUGCCUCUGACAAAGCGUCGUCGCCGAGCAUUGGAGGCUAUGUCUGAAUCUGAUACUAAGAUGGAAAAAGAUGUUGCAGUUAAGAAUGAUAUGUCAAGUUCUACUAAUGUUAAAGCUGUGGUAACUCAGUCACAGAAAAAGAGGAGGGCUGUUUGCCUUUAUGAUGAUGAAGAAGACGAGCCCAAAACUCCUGUUCACGGAGGAUCUGCUGCAAAUGUUAAAGCACCGGCAAAUGUUUCAAAUGAUAUCAAGAGUUCUGAUGCAAAUAUUGAGAAAUGUGAAAAAACUGUAGACCAUGGUAAGGAUUCUACUGAACAUUUGGAAAGUCAUACAAAAGAGUCCUCUAAAUUGAAUGGAUCUUCGCCGCCUGAGAAAUCUCAAGCUGAUGUUAAGGAGCAUGCUAGCCAUCAAAGUAAUGAAAAUGGGUCUGAAGGCCAUCCUCGUAGUGAUGAAAAGGGGAUUGAAAAAGAAGAGAAAUCAGAAUCUGAACAAUUGUCAUCCAAGGAGGUAAAACCAAUUUUGAUAUCUCCUAUAAAAUCUCCACAUGUGCCUUCUGCUAUCAAAUCAGGAGAUGAACAUAUUAAAGCUACAAAACCCAAGGCUAAAGUCUCUAGUGCUGGAAGUGCGAAAAAGGUGUCUAGCAAGGGCCCUGUUUCAGUUAAUAACAUUUCUCAAAAUCAAGUUACAAUUCAAAGAAAUAAGCCUGCUUCCUCGACAGAAAGGUCUAAACCUACUUCCUCUACAGAAAGGUCUAAACCUACUCAGAAACCACAUUCUUGGAUCAGUGAUGUUGCUGUGAGAGAAAAAUCGACAGAGCCUGGUGAAAGAGUGGAAGCUGGUAGAGAAGAUCGAAGUAGUUUGAUGAUUGAUUCUAGGACACCAGACUCAGAAAUGUCUAUGAAGCAUCUUAUUGCAGUUGCACAAGCAAAGAGGAAGCAAGCCCACUUGCAAAGCUUUUCUUUUAGCAUUUCCACUUCUGCUUUUUCCACUGGUGAUUUUCAGGGAAGGAGCCCAAGUCCUACUGCUGCUCAACAUUUUUUGUCAGAAAGUGGCAAUUCUACGAUGGUUGAUAUCCAAGGAUCUGCUACUUUAGGUUCUCCAUCAACUAAUGUUCACGAGUUUGCUUCGCAAAGUCAGCAUGAUGUUGAAGAACUUGAGGAGAGAAGAGCUAGUUCUGGAAAUAGGGUUGCUGGAAACUCACUUAGUGGUGGCACUGAGGCAGCUGUUGCUCGUGACGCUUUUGAAGGAAUGAUAGAGACUUUGUCUAGGACGAAAGAAAGUAUUGGACGCGCAACUCGUCUUGCCAUUGAUUGUGCGAAGUAUGGUAUUGCUAAUGAGGUUGUGGAACUACUUAUUCGAAAAUUGGAAACUGAGCCCAGUUAUCAUCGCAAAGUAGACUUGUUUUUCCUUGUGGAUUCCAUAACCCAAUGCUCUCACAAUCAAAAAGGUAUUGCUGGAGCUUCCUAUAUUCCCACAGUUCAAGCAGCAUUGCCUCGUUUGCUAGGUGCUGCUGCUCCAGCUGGUACUGGUGCUCGUGAAAAUCGUCGCCAGUGCCUUAAGGUUUUACGGCUGUGGCUUGAGCGGAAAAUUUUUUCUGAGUCACUUCUUCGGCGUUACAUGGAUGACAUUGGAGUUCCAAAUGAAGAUACAACUGUUGGAUUUACUCUAAGACGGCCAUCUCGUGCCGAGCGUGCUGUUGAUGAUCCAAUUAGAGAAAUGGAAGGCAUGCUUGUUGAUGAGUAUGGCAGUAAUGCCACAUUUCAGUUGCCUGGGUUUUUAUCAUGUCAUGUAUUUGAAGACGAAGAAGAGGAAGAGGAUCAUCCAGGUACUUAUAAGGAAAAUGGUCAUCCAUCACAGCAGGAACCCAUCCGUGUUUCUGGAGAGAUGGAAACAUGUGCUGUUACUCCAAAUGACAGGCGCCAUUGCAUAUUGGAGGAUGUUGAUGGUGAACUUGAAAUGGAAGAUGUCUCUGGACCCCCAAAGGAUGAAAAGCCAUCACUGGUUUGUAGUUCUUUUGAAACAGAUGCAUUGCCGGUUUGUACUUCUUUUGAAGCAGACACGCAACAGCUUAUGUUCGACAGAGUUGCAGAAUCUGCUCCAAGCAUUUCUGCUGAGUUGCCUCCUCUCCCAGAGGGUUCUCCACCACUUCCUCUUGAUUCUCCUCCUUCACCUCCACCUCUGCCUCCAUCACCACCACCACCUCCACCCCCAUCAUCUCCAUCUCCACCGCCGCCACCACCACCACCUCUACCUUCAGAACCACCUCCUCCUCCUUUGCCACCUUCUUGUCCCCCACCAUUAAUGGUUUCUCAGCCUUCGCUAGGAUUACCACAACAGAUGCUGCCAUCUCAAUCGUCAGUACAUUCUUCACCACAGGUGCCAUUUCAACCUCCUGUGCCUCAUGAAUUCAGUAGUGCAACUAGUGGCAACCAACUUAUUCCAAGGGCUGGCAACACUCCUCAUGGUGGUCCUGUUGAUGCUUCUGUUAAAGGUGAAAUGUUCACACAGCAGCCACAUUGCUAUGUUCCUACAGGAGUCUGUGGUCCACGAGAUCCGUCUGGAUUUAAUUCUUCAAGGCAACUGGAACAUGGACAUAAUGACAUGUAUUUAAACCCACAAGUUUCUCAACCAAACCAACAAUUUCCGCAAAGUAAUACCCCUUACAUACAAAGACCUUUGCAUCCUGUGCCACCUCAAAAUCCUUCGGGGCAUUUUUCUUAUUCAAAACCCACAAUUCAGCAGCAUCCUCAGCACCCCUACCACCAUCCUUACCCUUUGCCAUCCCAUCCUGAUGGUCGAAGGCAGUUUGUUGCUGAUGAACAAUGGAGGAUGCCUUCUGGUGAGUUUAAGUCAGAUAGUCAGCGUGGUGUAUGGGUUAAUGGAGGGAUGACACAUUCAGGACCACCCUUUGGCCAGGAAGGUUAUUAUCGACCACCCUUUGAAAGGCCACCCACAAAUAAUUUGAGUUUUCAACAUCCUGCUCCCAGUACUGUACAACCUGGUGCUCCAAUUUCAGGUCACAGCGUCUCCCAGAUGUUGCCUAGUAGACCAGAUAUGUCGGCUCUUAAUUGUUGGAGGCCAGCUUAAGUGCUGUUGAUUAAAGAACAAAGGAUAAAGCGGUUUUCACAUUAUGUUUGGCGUCGAGGUAACUUGUGUACAAAGUCCAACCACAAUUUGAAGGCAGCAUCGAGAAGUGGAGGCCCUUGGCAGGAUUGUGUAUAUUGUAAUUUUUCCUGACAAAUGUAUCCCGAGAACAUUUGCUUCCAAGUGUAGGCUCAUGUUUCUGACUUGGCCGAAGGAGCGUUAGUUUCAGAAAAUAAGAGAACUUCACUGGUGUUGUUGCAGGUUUUGGCAUAAAGGAUUUAACCAAUUUUGAUGUUAUUGUUGUGGUACACUUACAAAGUUAGGGUUCUACUUAGCAGAUAAGACUGCUUCAUAAAUUUGAGGUAAAUAUUUUAAUUUUUACAUGAUCUCCAUCGAGGACAAAGGUCAUUAUUUUUUGUUAGUCAGUUGAGUACAGUUUUAAUGCAACUUUAUAUGUUUCCUUGUAAAGUUAUGUCAAAAUUUAGUUUUUAGUGGCUUUUCAUCAUCUAUACAACAUUAUUAUGUAUUCAUGAUUUAUAAUGCAUUCAGGAUUUUCUCUCAAAUAA